rnacentral:rRNA from 1 species
GGUUAAGCGACUAAGCGUACACGGUGGAUGCCCUGGCAGUCAGAGGCGAUGAAGGGCGUGCUAAUCUGCGAUAAGCGCCGGUAAGGUGAUAUGAACCGUUAUAACCGGCGAUACCCGAAUGGGGAAACCCAGUGUGACUCGUCACACUAUCAUUAACUGAAUCCAUAGGUUAAUGAGGCGAACCGGGGGAACUGAAACAUCUAAGUACCCCGAGGAAAAGAAAUCAACCGAGAUUCCCCCAGUAGCGGCGAGCGAACGGGGAGGAGCCCAGAGCCUGAAUCAGCAUGUGUGUUAGUGGAAGCGUCUGGAAAGGCGCGCGAUACAGGGUGACAGCCCCGUACACAAAAGCGCAUGUGCUGUGAGCUCGAUGAGUAGGGCGGGACACGUGGUAUCCUGUCUGAAUAUGGGGGGACCAUCCUCCAAGGCUAAAUACUCCUGACUGACCGAUAGUGAACCAGUACCGUGAGGGAAAGGCGAAAAGAACCCCGGCGAGGGGAGUGAAAAAGAACCUGAAACCGUGUACGUACAAGCAGUGGGAGCACAGGUUUACCUGUGUGACUGCGUACCUUUUGUAUAAUGGGUCAGCGACUUAUAUUCUGUAGCAAGGUUAACCGAAUAGGGGAGCCG